AUUACACAGAGAGAGAAAGAGAAGCAGAGAGGAGAGAGGUCUUCCAUCCACUGGUUCACUCUGCAGCUGGCUGCAACAGCCGAAGCUGCGUUGAUACGAAGCCAGGAGUCAGGAGCUUCUUCUGGGUCUCACGUGUAGGUGCAGGGGCCCAAGGACUCGGGUCAUCCUGCACUGCUUUCCCACGCCUUAAACAGAGAGUUGGGUCAGAAGUGGAGCAGCCAGGACUCGAACCAGUGCCCAUAUGGGAUGCCGGCACGGCAGGCAGCAGCUCUGCCUACUACACCACAGCACCUCCCCGCAUAAUUUCUUUUGUGGUGUGCAACUCCUCCUUCCAAAUGUCAUCCUCCAUGCUUUCUCCCUGGCUUUCUGUGAAUCUCUUCUAGAGCAUUUUUCCCUAUUUUACCCGGCCUGGAUGCCCUGACCGGGCCUGUGCUGUGUGGACAUUGAUUGUUAUAAAAGUAAAGGAAGGGCCCUCCUUUUCUCCCCACGAGGGCCAAUGCUGAAAAUUGACAGCUACCCUGAAACAGGGCUGCCUCUCUGGAGAAAAGUCUAGUGACAGAGAUCAGAGGUGCAAAAGCCCAGAGGAAGAGCACUGGGCCCCAGUGCAGCUCAGUGCCCUGCUGUGUUCAUUAACAAUUUCUUUGAGUCUCACCCUUUUUUCAUUAUCUCUGCGGCUGAACCAGCUUUGCUUUCUGCCAGAAGCCUCCUGACAUUUAUCAGGGGAACAAGGAUCCAAGAAAGAAGGGGAAAGCGUGUCUGAAUAUCAGUGGUUAUUUUGGUAGCCUGUGCAGUGGUGUAAUGAUAUCGCCGUCUGAGAGCUGGGGCUCGCGGCCCUGGGGCGGAGGGCAGGCCCGCAACCUGAGCCGCCUGGCAAGCAGGGUCAGACUCUGCAGAGCCCAGCCCCGGGCCCCAGCACCCUCAACCCCAGCCCCAUCUCACCCCCAGCCUGGAGGAGUGGCCAGUUUACCAGUUGCUUGCGAAAGGGUGUCAGCUUCCUGUUAACAGGCACUCUGAGAGCCAGCAGGUGUGCCUCAGGCGGUUGGGUUCCUGCCACCUACAUGGGAAAUCCACAUGGAGUUCCAGGCUCCUGGCUUCAGCCUGAUCCAGCCCCAGCUGGUUGCAGGCAUCUAGGGAGUGAACCAAUGGAUGGAGGAUCUCUGUUGCUCUCUCUGCCUUUCAGCUCUCUGCUGUGGCCUGGGAAAGCAGUGGAAGAUGGCCCAAGUGCUUGGGCCCCUGCACCUUCGUGGAAGACCUGAAAGAAGCUGCUGGCUCCUGCCUUCAGGCUGGCCCAGCAGCCAUCUGGGGAGUGAACCAGCAAAUGGAAGAUCCCUUUCCCUCUCUGUCUCUCCCUCUCUGUCUGUAACUUUGACUUUCAAAUAAAUAAAUAAAUAUUUUUAAAAAUUAUUAUAAAUUGGCUACUUAUAAUUGUAUAAGGUCUACCUUAGGUUUUAAGUCCUCUCUUUGCAAGGCAUGUUUUGGGGUGCGUUGCUUAUGUUUAUUAUGAUUAAAUAACCAUUUCCUAUAAUAUCACUAUACUUUUUUUUUUUAAAAAGAUUUAUUUAUUUAUUUGUAAGGCAGAGUUACAGAGAGGCAGAGGCUAGAGAGAGAGCUUCCAUCCACUGGGUCACUCCCCAGAUGGCUGCAAUGGCCGGAGCUGAGCUGAACUGAAGCCAGGAGCCAGAAGCUUCCUCCAGAUCUCCCACAUGGGUAGGACUUGGACCAUCUUCCACUGAUUUCCCAGGCCAAAGCAGAGAGCGGGAUCAGAAAUGGAGCAGCUAGGACUCGAACCGGCACCCAUAUGGGAUGCUGGCGCUGCAGACUGGGGCCUUAACCCACUUUGCCACAUCACUUGCCCCUAACAUCAUUAUGUAUUUAUUUUAGGAAUAUAAAGACUGGCAGGGGGGCAGGGAGAAAGGGAAGAAACUAAAUGUAUGGUCCAACUGGAAGAUGAUAAAUCACUUUAGCAAAUCUCUCUGGCGAGCCCACUGUGGGCCUGAUACUCUGGCGGUGCUGAGGUCGGUGGUGCAGCUUCUUCCAAGCCGCUCAUGAUCUAGGAAGGAAGAGAAAUCCAGUUGGAGGAUGACUGGCAUUGAAGAGGGAUUUGGGCAAAGUGAUUGGAAAAGUGCAGUUCCAGCUGUGUGUAGCUAUGUGUGUGCAUCAAGGAAAGCUGCCCGGUUGACAUGUUUGCAAGGAAGAGAGUGAGCAGACCACCGAAGCCAGAAAACACUGGCAGUGCCCAGAGCCAUGGGGUAGAAGCCCCUUUGAUCCCAGCCAUGCUGGAUAGAGUUUGGGUCUGGGAUGCAAGCGAGAGACACAUGUGCUUCAUUUGGGAGGCACGGGGGGAGCAUGGAAGUUUGUAAACAGGCGGGGGGUAUGAGGAGAGCCUCGUUUAGGAAGUUAAAUCUGGCAGCCGUGUGUAUGACAGAUUAAAGUCACAGAAGUAGGAGAUAAAGAGGCCUGUCAGAGGCAUUUGGCAUCUUAACAUGGGAGAAACGAGGGCCUGAGCUAUAAGGAAAAAUAGGACACGGAGCCCAGGCCUCCGGACUCGACUUGUAAAGCGAGAGCUGUUAAGACUGGAUGCUACUUCUGCUCCUGCCCGUGUUCGUUUAUUGUGGUUUCUCCCUUUCCUGUACGCCUAGUGCCUGACAUGCUUGCGUGGGCCCUGGAAGGAACAUGAUUAGGAGGACUCCGGCCCCAGGUAGGACCUCCCAUAGGUACCACUAGGAUAGCACGAUGGGCAAGGGAAGGCCUGACCAGAAACACAGGCUUGUUGUUGACUGAAAGUGAAUACCGUAAUACAGUAAGGAAUACCAGAAAAUUCUAGUGAACUGAAACAGUGGGGGAAGGGGGGCGGAAUCAAUAUGCACGUGGCAGUGCCAAAGCCCUCGCAGGCAGGAAAGUUGAAGUACCUGGAUCGGUUUGAGCCCACAUUCUGUGUGAGGCCUCACUCUGUCAGUCAGGAGGAUGGGGCCAUGCCAGAGAUAUCUGAGUAACUUUGGCAUGAGGUUGGAUUCCUGGAAAUGAGUGUGAGGGUGCAGUGUGCAUGCUGGGUGUUUACAGGCACUGCCUGUCUAGGACAGGCACCUGUCACAGAAUGGAGGACGCAGAACUGGGGACAGGGAAGGGCUCAACAGUGAGGCAGCUGUGAUGGAGGCCUCAGUCCAUCAAUCCCAUAGGAAACUUUAGAGUGAGGACAGACUUUUCGAGUUGGUCCCAGCUGAGGAUAGAAGACAGGGGUUUUGCAUCCUGCACGGGCCAAUCACUGGAUUGGGACUGCUCCCGGGAAGGGGGCGUAACCUUGGUCAGCUGGCUCCCAUCAGACAAGUGCAAUUGCUGUAGCAGAUCUCAGCUGUGAACACUCAGUAGCUGACCCUCCUGGCUGCUGGAGGAGUGAGGCUCCAGUUCUGAAGGCAAGAUCUGACAAUACCAUAGCAUCUACAGCAUCAUCCGCUUUCUGGAGACUUGCUUCGUCUCUCCUGACAAUUUUGGGGGAGAGGCCAGCAGAGGGAGUGUCAUUAUCUGCAGCUCUGAGCUCAUCAAAGCUGAGAGGGCAAAAGCCAGAGUGGAGGGGGCAUGGGGAAGGUGAGAUGGACAGCCUAAUGGGAGGUAAUUGAGGGUAGUGGUAAGUGUAAGGGCCUGCUGUCUGUUAGCGUGGUCUUCGGUCUGCCACUUGCUAGCAGUGUGACCUUGGGCAAAUGAGUCAUCUCUUUGUCCCUCACUUUCUUCAUUUCUCAUUUAGGGACAAGAAUAGGACUUACCUCAUAGAGUGGUGGUGAGACCAAAUGAGAUAAUGCAUGCAAAGUCCUUAAUAAGUAGGCUUCAGGAGAGGGUGGCUUCUAGUACAGUUCUGUUGUUAAUACUUAGGAUAAAACUGUUUCCACCUGGAGAAAUAUCUUGGGCAGAUAUUGGGAGCCGAAGUCCCAAUCCAAAAAGUCUAAGAGGGAGAGAGGUCAGAUCCAACACAGAAGCAAGAGGUAUGUGUUCAUGCAGGGUGGGACCCCAACACAUGCCCAAGAGAGGGGAUACUUCCCCUGGACUUUCUCAUGUUCUUGACUGCAUGAAGUGGCAGAAGCAGCCCUAUUUAAAAAGCCAAGCAGGACACAAAGUACAUUUCUGGUGAGAAAGUUGCCUUCUUCAUUUCUUUUUCCAUUGAGUUUUCUUGACCUUAGAUUCCAAGUCCUGACUUUGCUGCCUAACAACCCCCACAUGUGUGGCCUUGCACAAGUCACACAACGUCUCUGACCAUCCAACAGGUCCUUCAUCUAUAACAUCAGAUGAGGAUUGCCUGGUGUUCAUUGGUGGUUGUGAGAUUCAGAUGAGAAAUUAUAUUUGGAAGUGGUUUGCAGACUAAAAAACACAAAGCAGAUGUCACUUUAUUGGGAUUCUUUUGUCUGUUGCUUUUGUUGUUUGGGAUGUGAAGGUGAUAACCAACAGAAGCUGGAAGGGACAACCAGAGGUUAAUGAACAAAAGGGAGCCAUCUGAAAACGGUCGCUGCAAUAGCUUUCCCGAGUAAAGAUGAUACUCUCCUCUGUCCUUCCUGUACCAAUGGCCCUGUCUAAAGACUUUAAGAUUGGAAGAGAUAUAAGAAAGAAUCAGAAAUAAUCCAUUCCUCAAGGUAGUCAUGGCACAUCUGUUUGGUUCUGUGUGUUCGAUUCUAUUUCCUUAGGGAACAAAAGAGUCCCCCUAUUGUAAAUCACCCAUCUAGAGCUCUCAUGGGAAUGAGAAGCUCCUGCUGAGUGUAUGGCACCUGAAUUAUUGCCAUCGUAGCCAUCAGCAACCUGACCAAGUAGCAUGCCUCUGGGGUGGUGGUAUGCAAGUGUGACACACACCCACAUGCAUUUAACUUCUUAACCACAUUGGAGCUAGAGAGAGGGUUCUUACCAGGAGCAGAAGUGUUAAUUUUUAAUUAAUUCAUACACUUUUCUUUUAAUUUUUUUUGAAUUUCUUAAAAGAACUGCACUUGAUGGUCCAAAAAUUUGGAAGGUUUUCUUUUGACAUUUAAAUCUGAACUCUAACUAACCAGAUUUGAUUCUUAUGCUUUGUGUGAAGUAGGGAUAGAAUGUUUUCCCCCGUGUGCAUAUGUUCUUUCAAAGCAGAAGACAUUUCUAAGUGACAGAAAUGUGAAUGUGUUGGUAGAAAGGACAUCAAGAGAAAACAGCAGUGGAAUAGAGAUUAUAGGAGGUUUGUAAGAACAGGCAUUUUCAGAGUUUAUGAGGAUGAAACCCUUUAAGCCGGGAUGAAAUCAUGGAUGUUCCUUGCUGCCCCCUCCCUCUUGGCAUGUGUAAUUUUCAGUCUAACUCAGCUUCUAUAUUGACUGGCGGUGAGGGAGAACAUUUAUAUAAGAAAUGAUAUGAUAUGCACUUGUAUGGGAACUGUGCUAUUAAUUUGUUCAUUUACCUUAAAAGCACCAACCAAGCAUCUGGUACUAGCAUACCACUAAAUCCCGUUUCCAAAAGCUUGAACUACAGAAGGUGUAAAUUAGUACUUUUUAUGUGAAAGGCAGAGAGAGAGAGGAGAAAUCUUCCAUCCAUUGGUUCAUUCCCCAAUGUUUUCAACAGCCAGGGCUGGACCAGGCCAAAGCCAAGAGCCUUUGGAACUUAAUCUGGAUCUCCCCUAUGAGUGUCAUCAGGGACCCAAGUACUUGAGCCAUCGCUUAACCUGCUGUGCUAUGAUUCCAGCCCUUAAAUUUCUGUCUUUGUCCAUAUAUCAAUCAGUCUCUAUGCAUCCAGCAAUUUGUCCAUUUACCUACCUACUGUCUAUGCAUUGAUCCAUCUAUAUAUUCAUCUGACUAGCUCCCUUCCUACCAGAGUAGGUAGAAUGGGUGGUGGGAAGAACAUUGGAGAAGAUUUGAGGCUACUUGGAUGCAGUCAGAUCCCACGCUCAUCCCCAGCCAGUUGCCUAACACCAAGGCAGUUACUUCAUGUAGCAGCAAACCACUUUCCACAUCUGUGAAAUGAGAGAUUUGGACUUAAUGCUUUUUUAAAGCAUGGUUCGGAUCUUCCAGGAUUUCCUACUGACCUGAUUUUUCGGUCUUGUCUCCUUUAAGACUGCUUUAUUCACUGUGAGGUAACGUGGGUCACAUUUGUAUGCCUAACUCUUACACCCCUUUGUUCUGUUGGUUAGUCUUCUUUAACUGCAAUGGAGAAAAACACAAUCAAAAUCACUUAGGGAAGCAUAGACUUGGCUUACACAGCUGAAGGACUGGGUGGAUUACAAAUAGAGCAGAAGGAGUAACUGUUAGCAGAAUCAGGGCCUCUGGAUUGGAAGUCGGAAGUGUGGAUUCUUUUUGUUGUUGUUGUUGUUAAAGAUUUAUUUAUCUGAAAGGUGGAGUUACAGGUGGAGAGAGGCAGAGGCAGGCAGGGAGCUUCCAUCCACUGGUUCACCUCCUAAAUGGCUGCAGUGGCCAGGGCCAGACUGAAGCCAGGAGCCAGGAGCUUCAUCCGGAUCUUCCACGUGGGUGCAGGGGCCCAAACACUUGGGCCAUCUUCUACUGCUUUCCAAAGUGCAUUAGCAGGGAGCUGAAUUGGAAGUGGAGCAGUGGGACUCAAUAUGGGAUGCUGGCACCACAGGUGGCAGCUUAAUCUGCUAGUCUACAGUGCUGGCCUCAGAAGUAUGGAUUCUAAGUGGCCAUAUCUCAUUCUCCACUCACACUUUACUUAUAAUUUUCUGAUUUUCUCUGUAGA